rnacentral:rRNA from 1 species
UGUGAACUCGAAGAGUAGGGCGGGACACGUGGUAUCCUGUCUGAAUAUGGGGGGACCAUCCUCCAAGGCUAAAUACUCCUGACUGACCGAUAGUGAACCAGUACCGUGAGGGAAAGGCGAAAAGAACCCCGGCGAGGGGAGUGAAAAAGAACCUGAAACCGUGUACGUACAAGCAGUGGGAGCACCUUCGGGUGUGACUGCGUACCUUUUGUAUAAUGGGUCAGCGACUUAUAUUCUGUAGCAAGGUUAACCGUAUAGGGGAGCCGCAGGGAAACCGAGUCUUAACUGGGCGUUAAGUUGCAGGGUAUAGACCCGAAACCCGGUGAUCUAGCCAUGGGCAGGUUGAAGGUUGGGUAACACUAACUGGAGGACCGAACCGACUAAUGUUGAAAAAUUAGCGGAUGACUUGUGGCUGGGGGUGAAAGGCCAAUCAAACCGGGAGAUAGCUGGUUCUCCCCGAAAGCUAUUUAGGUAGCGCCUCGUGAACUCAUCUUCGGGGGUAGAGCACUGUUUCGGCUAGGGGGUCAUCCCGACUUACCAACCCGAUGCAAACUACGAAUACCGAAGAAUGUUAUCACGGGAGACACACGGCGGGUGCUAACGUCCGUCGUGAAGAGGGAAACAACCCAGACCGCCAGCUAAGGUCCCAAAGUCAUGGUUAAGUGGGAAACGAUGUGGGAAGGCACAGACAGCCAGGAUGUUGGCUUAGAAGCAGCCAUCAUUUAAAGAAAGCGUAAUAGCUCACUGGUCGAGUCGGCCUGCGCGGAAGAUGUAACGGGGCUAAACCAUGCACCGAAGCUGCGGCAGCGACACUAUGUGUUGUUGGGUAGGGGAGCGUUCUGUAAGCCUGCGAAGGUGUGCUGUGAGGCAUGCUGGAGGUAUCAGAAGUGCGAAUGCUGACAUAAGUAACGAUAAAGCGGGUGAAAAGCCCGCUCGCCGGAAGACCAAGGGUUCCUGUCCAACGUUAAUCGGGGCAGGGUGAGUCGACCCCUAAGGCGAGGCCGAAAGGCGUAGUCGAUGGGAAACAGGUUAAUAUUCCUGUACUUGGUGUUACUGCGAAGGGGGGACGGAGAAGGCUAUGUUAGCCGGGCGACGGUUGUCCCGGUUUAAGCAUGUAGGCUGAUUGUCCAGGCAAAUCCGGAUAAUCAAGGCUGAGGUGUGAUGACGAGGCACUACGGUGCUGAAGUAACAAAUGCCCUGCUUCCAGGAAAAGCCUCUAAGCAUCAGGUAACAU